AAAUUGAAGAGUUUGAUCAUGGCUCAGAUUGAACGCUGGCGGCAGGCCUAACACAUGCAAGUCGAACGGUAACAGGAAGAAGCUUGCUUCUUUGCUGACGAGUGGCGGACGGGUGAGUAAUGUCUGGGAAACUGCCUGAUGGAGGGGGAUAACUACUGGAAACGGUAGCUAAUACCGCAUAACGUCGCAAGACCAAAGAGGGGGACCUUCGGGCCUCUUGCCAUCGGAUGUGCCCAGAUGGGAUUAGCUAGUAGGUGGGGUAACGGCUCACCUAGGCGACGAUCCCUAGCUGGUCUGAGAGGAUGACCAGCCACACUGGAACUGAGACACGGUCCAGACUCCUACGGGAGGCAGCAGUGGGGAAUAUUGCACAAUGGGCGCAAGCCUGAUGCAGCCAUGCCGCGUGUAUGAAGAAGGCCUUCGGGUUGUAAAGU
rnacentral:rRNA from 1 species